rnacentral:tRNA from 1 species
ACUAUUUUGGCAGAAAAGUGUGAUGGAUUUAGAAUCUAUAUAUGUGGAUUAUUAUACCCAUAAAUAGUA